CCAACAGGGAUUGCCCCAGUAACGGCGAGUGAAGCGGCAACAGCUCAAAUUUGAAAUCCGGCCCCCGGGGCCCGAGUUGUAAUUUGCAGAGGAUGCUUCGGGCGAGGCGCCUUCCGAGUUCCCUGGAACGGGACGCCACAGAGGGUGAGAGCCCCGUCUGGUCGGACGCCGAGCCCGCGUGAAGCUCCUUCGACGAGUCGAGUAGUUUGGGAAUGCUGCUCAAAACGGGAGGUAUAUGUCUUCUAAAGCUAAAUACCGGCCAGAGACCGAUAGCGCACAAGUAGAGUGAUCGAAAGAUGAAAAGCACUUUGAAAAGAGGGUUAAAAAGUACGUGAAAUUGUUGAAAGGGAAGCGCCCGCGACCAGACUUGGGCCCGGCGGAUCACCCGGCGUUCUCGCCGGCGCACUCCGCCGGGCACAGGCCAGCAUCGGUCCGGCGCGGGGGACAAAGGCUCUGGGAACGUGGCUCCCCCGGGAGUGUUAUAGCCCACCGCGCAAUGCCCUGCGCCGGACCGAGGAACGCGCACCGCAAGGAUGCUGGCGUAAUGGUCGUCGGCGACCCGUCUUGAAACACGGACCAAGGAGUCGUCUUCGUAUGCGAGUGUUCGGGUGUCAAACCCCUACGCGGAAUGAAAGUGAACGCAGGUGAGAGCCUCGGCGCAUCAUCGACCGAUCCUGAUGUCCUCGGAUGGAUUUGAGUAGGAGCAUACGGGGCCGGACCCGAAAGAAGGUGAACUAUGCCUGCGUAGGGUGAAGCCAGAGGAAACUCUGGUGGAGGCUCGCAGCGGUUCUGACGUGCGAAUCGAUCGUCAAACGUGGGCAUGGGGGCGAAAGACUAAUCGAACCUUCU
rnacentral:rRNA from 1 species